rnacentral:lncRNA from 1 species
UGAAACGUGAGAAACAUCCGAGAGGGUUUUCAGGCUAUGUAGAAAUGUAAUGACCACAGUAAAGUUUAGUUGAUUAACCGAUCAGUAAGAAGAAAAAGGCCUAGGUUUUUGGUGUAUUGUGGUCACUAAGUUUGCUGCAGCAAGGCAGUUGGAAUUCCUCAAAGGCAGGAGUUAUUCUACUCAUCAUCAAUCUACUCAUUAUAAACGCCCUCAUUCCAAUAACAGGAUUGUAUAAUGCUUGCAACUAAUUUCUCAGCUUCACCCUCCUGCUCACAACAUACAGCAGCUGUCUGAGACUUCUGAUACACCAAGUUUGAUACCAGUUUAUUCAUUGUAAUCAAAACAUUACAAAAUCAAUAAUAUUAUCAUUAUGUAUAAAAAUACAAUAUAGACGGAUCAAAUCCCGCUGUAAAGCGCGGGCAAAUCUUGCUAGUU